AUCAUUUUGGCAGAAAAAAUGCAUUGGAUUUAGGAUCCUUUAAUAUAAUUAAAAAUUAUAAAUGAUA
rnacentral:tRNA from 1 species